rnacentral:lncRNA from 1 species
AUAAACCUAACCAGUCUUUCCUGAAGGUUCCUGAAACAAAGGCCCUCCAUUUGGAACCGGUUCCAAAGGCCUUGCCUUACAUUGGACUUUAACAACAUAAUCUUGGUUCAUUAGAACAAGAUUUCCCUUUGAUAACCAAAAUGUGUGAGUGUCUCAGAGAGGGAGCCACACAGAGAAUAAGGGGUCAACCGUUUAAGUUUCAGAACUGAGCUGCUUAAGAGUUUUUGUUUUGCAGUUGGGAUCCCUGAGGAUGAACCUGGUGUUUUUGUAUUGAUUGCCUUCUGCACUAAUGUAGUUAGGGAGGAGAGAGAGUUUUUGCAGAAUGUGGGAUUGAGCAGAGGGAGAACGUAUUAGACUGGCUGUGUUUCCUCGCCUCUGGGUGUGGUUUGCUCCUUGAAGGUUAGAGCCAAGGGGAUUCUUUAUCAUCCAACAUUUUCAUUUAGGGCAAUCAGACACCACAGUUUGCAGUCUUCAGCUUUAGGGAAUCUCAGACUUCAAUAAAGAGGAUGGUAUUUUAUUAUCUCCUCGGGUUGUUUUAGGAACUUUGAAAAAAUCACACAAAUGCUUCUACUGACUGGAUGACUAUAACAGGGCAGAACAAACCACUCGAGUCUAGUUUCACUUAGGAAACCAAUUUUCAUUGUUGAAGACACUUGUAGCAAGGGUACUACUACAGAUCUGGAGGCUGUGAGGAUCAGAUGCAUGCGACAGGGAAACUGCAAUACAAGAGACAAAUAGUACUCCACAAGUUCAAAGCGCUCUCGUCUGUGCUGGCCAUAAGCAGUCUUCAUGGAAACUAACCCUGGAAAAAUGCGAG